rnacentral:piRNA from 1 species
UGAGAGAAGAUAUAGCCAAGGUAGCCA